UACGGCCACAUCAUAUUGAAACACAGGUUCCCACACGACCACCGAAGUUAAGCAACGUCGGGCCUGAUCAGUACCUAGAUGGGUGACAACUUGAAAAUUUCAGGUGCUGUAAU